rnacentral:rRNA from 1 species
AACGAACGCUGGCGGCAUGCCUAACACAUGCAAGUCGAACGAUGCUUUCGGGCAUAGUGGCGCACGGGUGCGUAACGCGUGGGAAUCUGCCCCUUGGUUCGGAAUAACCGUUGGAAACGACGGCUAAUACCGGAUGACGACGUAAGUCCAAAGAUUUAUCGCCGAGGGAUGAGCCCGCGUAGGAUUAGCUAGUUGGUGUGGUAAAGGCGCACCAAGGCGACGAUCCUUAGCUGGUCUGAGAGGAUGAUCAGCCACACUGGGACUGAGACACGGCCCAGACUCCUACGGGAGGCAGCAGUGGGGAAUAUUGGACAAUGGGCGCAAGCCUGAUCCAGCAAUGCCGCGUGAGUGAUGAAGGCCUUAGGGUUGUAAAGCUCUUUUACCCGGGAUGAUAAUGACAGUACCGGGAGAAUAAGCUCCGGCUAACUCCGUGCCAGCCGCCGCAGUAAGAC